rnacentral:lncRNA from 13 species
AUGGAGUCACUGAGGAUGCGGUACCUCAUUGUGGGCCAGAGCAGUGCUGAUACUGCGCACCGGCUGGGGCAGACCCUGGAAGCCUCAUCUCGCCUGGGCACGGCCCCUGAGGACCUGGCACUAUGGCUGAGCCGCAUGGAGAAGGAGCUGGGCGAGCAGGAGAGCCAGCAGGAUGGCCAAGAGCCCUCAGUCACUGCCAGUGACAGGGAGAAGUUUGAGCAGGUCCUGGAGUCCCAGCUCACCCGUGUGGCUGGGCUGGGCGAGCGACUGGAGGAGAUUGGCCGUGUGCAGCUGGAUGCUGAGGCUCUCUGCUCGCAGCUCUCCGAGCAGAAGCUGCUCUCCGCCGAGAUUCUGCACUGCCGGGGCCUCGUUGAGCGUCUCCUGGGGUUCUCGGAGCCGCUGCUACGCUGCUGCCCUGAGCCCCUGCAGCAGCGCCUUCAGCCGUCGGUGCAGGCGCUGCGGGAGAGCACGGAGCAGCUCUCCCUGCGCAGCGGUGCCUGUGCCGUGCAGCUGGAGCACGCCCAGUCCCUGCUCACCCAGUUCUCCGAGGCCCUCGAGGAGCUGCUGCCCUGGCUGGAGGAGACGCAGGCCCUGGGGGUGCAGCUCUCCCCCAAUGCCAUCAGCUACGAGGCCUUCAAGGACCAGCAGGCGCUGCUGCAGGUGCGGGCAGGGCAGGGGCCAAAGGGACUCGCUCGGCCGCCCCGCGGGUUGGGAGUGGAGAGGUGACGGGAUGGGGGUGGCAUCGC